rnacentral:rRNA from 1 species
CCCCGUAACUUCGGGAGAAGGGGUGCUCUUUAGGGUGCAAGCCCAGAAGAGCCGCAGUGAAUAGGCCCAAGCGACUGUUUAUCAAAAACACAGGUCUCUGCUAAACCGUAAGGUGAUGUAUAGGGGCUGACGCCUGCCCGGUGCUGGAAGGUUAAGAGGAGUAGUUAGCUUCUGCGAAGCUACGAAUCGAAGCCCCAGUAAACGGCGGCCGUAACUAUAACGGUCCUAAGGUAGCGAAAUUCCUUGUCGGGUAAGUUCCGACCCGCACGAAAGGCGUAACGAUUUGGGCACUGUCUCAACGAGAGACUCGGUGAAAUCAUAGUAC